UUAUGAGAAAUCUUUAAAGUCUGAAAAUUUCUUUUUGAAUGUUAAUCUUAGUCCGAAGCGAUUCUGACGUGCAAAUCGAUUGUCUGACUUUGGUACAGCGGCGAAAGACUGAUCGAACAAUCUAGUAGCUGAUUCCCUCUGAAGUUUCCCUCAGGAUAGAUGGAGUACGUUAUGAAACUGCUACAUUCGGUAAAGCGAAUGAUUAAAGGAAUUGUGGGACGAAACGUCUUCAACCGUGGAUGACUCGCUUGCUCGAAUGAAGCGUGGACAUUGAAUAUGUGCUCUACAUAGGCCAUUUUGGUAAGCAGAACUGGGGUGCUGUGGACGGACA
rnacentral:ncRNA from 1 species